rnacentral:rRNA from 1 species
UACAGAGGUCUCAAGCGUUGUUCGGAUUCAUUGGGCGUAAAGGGUGCGUAGGCGGCGCGGUAAGUCGGGUGUGAAAUCUCGGGGCUUAACUCCGAAACUGCAUUCGAUACUGCCGUGCUUGAGGACUGGAGAGGAGACUGGAAUUUACGGUGUAGCGGUGAAAUGCGUAGAUAUCGGGAGGAACACCUGUGGCGAAAGCGGCUCUCUGGACCACAACUGACGCUGAGGCGGCGAAAGCUAGGGGAGCAAACAGG